rnacentral:rRNA from 1 species
CAGUAGCCACGGGAAAACGAAGGGGGCUAGCGUUGUUCGGAAUUACUGGGCGUAAAGCGCACGCAGGCGGCUCGAUAAAUUAGAAGUGAAAGCCUUGGGCUUAACCUGAGAAUUGCUUUUAAGACUGUCGAGCUAGAAUCCAGAAGAGGGUAGUGGAAUUCCGAGUGUAGAGGUGAAAUUCGUAGAUAUUCGGAAGAACACCAGUGGCGAAGGCGACUACCUGGUCUGGCAUUGACGCUCAUGUGCGAAAGCGUGGGGAGCAAACAGGAUUAGAUACCCGAGUAGUCCCUGUCUCUUAUAA